rnacentral:tRNA from 1 species
GGAGAGGUGCCGGAGCGGUCGAACGGGCUCGCCUGGAGAGCGAGUAGACGGGCUAAACCUGUCUCGCGGGUUCAAAUCCCGCCCUCUCCGCCA